UUAACGUUUACUUCAUAUAUAUUCUGAAUUUUGAGGUAACGUUUUGCACGGACGUCAACCCUAAAUACAAUAGGUAAAACGCGACGCAUAAGCUCACGCUGUAAUUUCAAUAUCUUCCAAUCUCGUAGAUGCAUUAAACACUCCACGAAGUAUGACGACACUUGCGGUCAAAUAGUUUCAUCGAGGACCAAUAGUAGGAAAUUAUUGACCGUUUGAAUAGUUCAACGCUUGCACUUUGAAAAAUAGACAAAAUAUUGUGUACUUAUUUUAUUUAGAAAAUGA
rnacentral:lncRNA from 1 species